CACAUCAGAUUUCCUGGUGUAACGAAUUUUCAAGUGCUUCUUGCAUAAGCAAGUUUCCUCCCGAUCCUUCACAGGAUCGGGAUUU
rnacentral:other from 2 species